rnacentral:rRNA from 1 species
AUCUAGAUACCUCCCAUCACACAUGUAUCCGCCUGAGAACUACGAGCACAAACGCUUAAAACUCUAAGGACUUGGCGGUGCCCCAAACCCACCUAGAGGAGCCUGUUCUAUAAUCGAUAAUCCACGAUUCACCCAACCACCCCUUGCCAGCACAGCCUACAUACCGCCGUCGCCAGCCCACCUCUAAUGAAAGAACAACAGUGAGCUCAAUAGCCCCUCGCUAAUAAGACAGGUCAAGGUAUAGCCUAUGGGGUGGGAGAAAUGGGCUACAUUUUCUAACAUAGAACAAACGAAAAAGGACGUGAAACCCGCCCUUAGAAGGAGGAUUUAGCAGUAAAGUGAGAUCAUACCCCCUAAGCUCACUUUAAGACGGCUCUGAGGCACGUACACACCGCCCGUCACCC